rnacentral:rRNA from 1 species
UACGUAGGGGGCAAGCGUUGUCCGGAAUCAUUGGGCGUAAAGCGCGUGUAGGCGGCUUGGUAAGUCUGCUCUGAAAGCCCGGGGCUCAACCCCGGGAGGCGGGUGGAUACUGUCAAGCUCGAGUCCGGAAGAGGAGUGUGGAAUUCCUGGUGUAGCGGUGAAAUGCGCAGAUAUCUGGAGGAACACCGGUGGCGAAGGCGGCAUCCUGGACCAACACUGACACUGAGGAGCGAAAGCCAGGGGAGCAAACGGG